AUUGAACGCUGGCGGCAGGCCUAACACAUGCAAGUCGAGCGAGAGGCGGACGGGUGAGGAAUGUAUGGGGAUCUGCCCGAGAGAGGGGGAGAACUACUGGAAACGGUGGCUAAUACCGCAUACGAUCGGAUGAACCCAUAUGGGAUUAGCUAGUAGGUGGGGUAAAGGCUAACCAAGGCGACGAUCUCUAGAUGGUCUGAGAGGAUGCAACGCCACACUGGAACUGAGACACGGCCCAGACUCCUACGGGAGGCAGCAGUGGGGAAUAUUGCACAAUGGGCGCAAGCCUGAUGGAGCCAUGCCGCGUGUAUGAAGAAGGCCUUCGGGUUGUAAAGUUCUUUCAGCGGGGAGGCGUUACCCGCAGAAGAAGCACCGGCUAACUCCGUGCCAGCAGCCGCGGUAAUAC
rnacentral:rRNA from 1 species